UGAAAAAUCAAAUUUGCCCCCUUAUCCACUACCAAUUUACAA
rnacentral:sRNA from 1 species